rnacentral:rRNA from 1 species
CCUACGGGUGGCUGCAGUGGGGAAUAUUGGGCAAUGGGCGCAAGCCUGAUCCAGCAACGCCGCGUGAAGGAAGAAGGCUUUCGGGUCGUAAACUUCUUUCGACAGGGACGAAGCAAGUGACGGUACCUGACGAAUAAGCCACGGCUAACUACGUGCCAGCAGCCGCGGUAAUACGUAGGUGGCAAGCGUUAUCCGGAUUUACUGGGUGUAAAGGGCGGGUAGGCGGGAAUGUAAGCCAGAUGUGAAAACUAUGGGCUUAACCCAUAGCUUGCAUUUGAAACUAUAUUGCUUGAGUGCAGGAGAGGAAAUCGGAAUUCCGAGUGUAGCGGUGAAAUGCGUAGAUAUACGGAGGAACACCAGUGGCGAAGGCGGAUUGCUGGACAGUAACUGACGCUGAGGCGCGAAAGCGUGGGGAGCAAACAGGAUUAGAUACCCGGGUAGUC